AAUUUGUCUAUAUAUCGUCAUUACUCGUUUAUUUUCACUUUUUUUUAUUUUCUAUACCGCCGUCUUAAGAUAAAACUUCGAAGUUUUAUCUCAAGCUCUUUUGGUAAGUCAGGUCAAGGUGGAGACUAUAAAAAAGUUUAGAUUAAUUAUUCAUAAACGUUAUUUAAAGUCAGUCAUCUAAAGAUAACUUAAAUAAAGAUUUGAAAGUAGUCUUUGAUUAAAGAUCAAAGACAAACUUGUCUCAGGUGUACAUAUCGCCCGUCACCCUCGUCUAAAGAUGAGGUAAGUCGUAACAUAGUUAGUGUACUGGAAAGUGCACUAAGGGGAAUUAAAAGCUUUAGCGUUUCAUUUACACAGAAAAGAAUGAUAAUUCAAUUCUUAUAAACCUUUUUACUUAACUUACUAUUCAUUUCAUUUAAUUUUCUUUUUUUUUAAAUAACCGUAAGGGCCAAUAAAUUGAUCCUAAGAAACUUUUUAGUGUACCUUUUGUAUCAGGGUGAAUCAAACUUAUUCUUGAAAAAUGUUAUCCCGAAAUUAAAUGAGCUACUUCAUUUAUUAUAUUUUAUAGCAAAAAAAUAGUAAAAGUUUAGUAGAAGUGAAAUUCCAUCCGUAUUUUAUUAUAUCUGGUUUUUUCAAAAAGUACAAUUACUUAAACCUAAAAAGGGACAAUCUUUUUUAGCUAUUUAUUUUCCACUCUAUACACCCAUCUAGGAUUAGAAGUGUCUUCUUGUGUAAAAACUUUUAUUCUUAUAUCCAGAUAAAUUUUUUUAUGAAAUCUUACUCUUUUUAUAAAGACAAUGACUCAAUCAGUAAAGAGAUAUUUCAACCAUUCUUUUUAAAACCUUUAAAACGAUUUCUCUAACUUAUUUUUAUUAAUUUGGCUGAGUUUUCUGACUGUUUACCAAAAACAUUUCUGAAUGUUUUUCUUUUCAGUAAGACCUGCUCAAUGAUUCUUUCAAUAGCCGCAACUUAUGUGCUAAGGUAGCAUAAUCAUUUGCCUUAUAAUUUAAGGCUAGUAUGAAAGGUUUAACAUGAUAACUUCUUUGUUAAUUUAACUGCUAUAAUUUUACUUAUAAGUAAAAAGGCUUAUAUUCAGGAGGGGGACGACAAGACCCUAUCGAGCUUUACUUAUCAGUUGGACUGGGGUGGUAAAAAACUAAAUCUUUUCAUUUCGUUUCUUUUUAUCCUUAUUAUAAGAUUUUCAAGUUACCGUAGGGAUAACAGCAUAAUUUUUUUCUAGAGAUCUUAU
rnacentral:rRNA from 1 species